UCGACUGAUGGCACAAAAAUGCAAAUGAUAUGACUUGGCUAAUGUAAGAAUCUCUUUUCAAUGUAAUUUAUUCAUCACGUAUUUGUAAUAGAUGAACAAGAAUGCAGGCGACAAGGAUUUUUCUAAAGUGGUUCAUAAUUUUGGACUGUACAACGCCCAUCGCAAAGAAAUAUUGCAUAUAUACUGAAGGCCGAAUGGGAUGCCCGCUAAGGAAGAAAGAAGAGUAUUUCUAGGCUGGCCGUGGUGUCAGUCGGAAUAUACGACCACAUGGAGUUUUCAAUCGUUGCACACAUGCAAUAUACGAUUGGAGGCAUAGAUGCAUUUUAGAACGUUCCUGGCCAAACAUAUCAGUCCAUCCUUGCCAAGAAAAACAAGAGUUUUCCCAGGAUGGCAACUACUAUCGUGUAGUUAGGCUUCGUUUUUCCAAACUGUUGGAUUUUGGGUUCUUCAACAGAUACGGGAUUGGACGUCACGCAAAAAUUUAAAGGCAGAAUCUGAGAGUUUUUUUCCGGGGUGACCGGUACACCGUGUCCGCAUCAAUAUAUCCCCUCAACAUAGACCACCCAGGGAGACCCUGUAUUAUUCUAUAGUAACGCCAAAGCAAUCUACUUCUCAUAGCAAUAAACAUUUCGUUGCGUUCCUUUCCAAACUCACCGGUCCAUCUUUAAAAAAACAUUUUUCCAGAAUAGCCACUACCUUGGCUUGGUGAUCGUCCACCCUCUCUACACGCCAAUCCUUUUGGAUCCCAGCUUCUUUACAAUUACGAGACUUGACGUCGCAAAAAGGAUUCUCGAAUAUCCAUUAGAGACCAAACGUGAUGUCCAUACAUGAGAAAAAAUCCAGCUUUCCCGGGUUGCCGGUAUACCUUAGCCGCAUGCACGGCCACCUCCACAUGGCCACCUAGUAGAAACCCGGACUUUUCAAUGGUUACCACAUAGCAAUCUGCGUGGGGAUGAAAAUGCGUUUGGAAGGCUAUAAGUGGUCCUGAUUAAUCAAAUCAUACAACCAUUCUUCGGAGUAUUCCAAAGACAGCCUCCACCAGGGUGUGGUUAGCUACCGCACUCUUUACAAUGCCACUCUGUAAACUAUCGGAUUUGUCUACAUUUAUGGACCCGAAAAUGGCCAAGAGAAAAUUUGAAAAUCCGUUCAUGGCCAAUUUUGAUGUAGUUAAAGAAGAGCUUUCCCGUGGUAGCGGGUAUGCCGGAUCUACAUGUGAUGACCCUCUCUACAACAGCCUCCCGGUGUUUCAUCAACUAAUACGCUCAUACAAACUUCGGCAGGAGGCAAAGAAGCGUUUUAAAGAAAUCCUGGCAAAAACAUCAGUCAAACCUUGUUUGGAAUCAAAAUACUUUUUAGGAUGGCCUAAACCUUGUCGUUGUGGUCGGCUAAUAUUUCUUCAACGCCCAUUCGGUUCCCCUUUGUUCCAGAGGUACGUUACUGGACAUCGCCAAUGAAAAUUGCAAAUAUCCGUUCGGAGCCGAAUGUGAUGCCCUCUCACGAGAAAAGGAGAGCUUUUUCGAGUUUGCUGGUAUCAGAGACCAACUCUACAACGGCGGUCCGGUAGGCGCCGUUGUCCCCUUGUUUUUCAAUGGUUAUGCCAACGCAAUUUACUGCUAGAGGUUCAAUUCAAAAUAAAAUCCAUUAUUCCAAACGUCAUUGUCAAGGAUGGCCACUAUCCGGGCGUGAUGGGCUUCCCCAAUCUCUACAAUGCCCACCCGGUUGGAACCCGUGUUCUUCUAAAGUUACGGGACUGAACGUCGUCAAGGAAUGUCGCGAUUAUCCGUUCACGGCGAUGAAAACACAAAAGCUUUCACAGGCUGCCCAGUAUGCCCAAUACUGAUUUACAGAAUCUCUGGACCGCUGGUCCUUUUAUGGCGACGCUCGAGCAAUUUACAGCUGCAUGGAAAAUAAGUUUUGAAGCGUUCCUGGCCAAAUAUAUACGAGUCCAAAGUUUUAUAUUUUAUAAACCUUGUCUUCUGCUACAAUAACAAAUUGUAACACCUUGUAAUGAUACACUAACCUUUAACAUUUAAAUAUUAAGGAAUUUCUGUAAUGUCUAUUCUUUGAACAUUAAAGUCAUGGAACCAAUAAACAACGAAAGCAGUAUUUCGUUCAAAAUCUUAACCUUGCAUUAUCGGUUAACAACAAUCAAUACGGACGACUGUUUUAGCCAAUGACUGUCAAACAUGUUUACAACAACCGUUUCGUGUUUUCCCAUUAUUUGUUUCUGAUUAUUGCUUAAAAUUUCGCGAAGAGGUGGAUGUGCUUCUGAAAUUAAAUGUUACAUUUGUUAGAAUAUGUAUUCAAACGGAUUAAACAUUCAAUAUAAUUUAAAAUAUAGAUAGAUAUAGUGAAAAACGUAAAUAUUAGUGACUCUGUGUUGCUCGAACUGUAAGAUCAAAUAUAUCACUUUCUAGUUAAUUAUGGACUUAAUAAUGAACUUGUGAGAAUGUCGUCGUGCUUUUGGAAUUAAAUCUAAGAUUAUAAUUCAUAUCGGAAUUAAUUUUCAGUUAAAACUGGAAUAUACAAAGAUAGGGUGAUUAAAUAUAAUGAUUGGUGAGGUUUUUUUAACUUAGCUUUCAAAAAAUAAUAACCUUAAAGUUAAAGUCUUAUUAAACAAUAAUUAUCCCGUGAUAUGCUGGACAUAAUGUUAGGUAAUGAAAAACUCACUGAAAGUGCUUGUGCGGUCUUAAGUUAGUAAAUAGACAUAAUUGUCAUUAUUUAAUAAAACAAUCAGAUUAAGGAUAUUUUUAUUGGAACGGAAACAAAUGAAAAUGUAACUAAUAAUGUACGUAUAGUGUUAAUGACAAUCAAUUAAAUGACCAAAGCAUUUUUGACAGUGGCCAUCAGUUUGAAGUUUGUAUCUAUUUGAGCUUGAGGAAGUAGCAUGCAUUAUACAACUUUAAAAAGCGGCACCGUAAAAGUUGUUAAAAUUUUGUAUAAAGUCUCUGACGGGAUACAUUGUAUUUCUGUAACACUGUUUUGAAGAUUUGAAAUAUCCACCAUUGAUGGGUCAUAUCUUAAUCAGCUCUUGUUAACAAUUUACAUAAAACGAUGUUAAUAAAACAAAUAAUUUUAAUUUAUCUGAAGAAACUAAGUUUGUAGUAGAGGAAAUACAUAAUUAUAUCAUUUUUUCUUUGCAGCAUCUCCACGAAAUUCUACAAUGCACUUUUAGUACAUAUACCUAAAACAACGUUUAAAAUAACUUUCCAGUUAUGGUAUUAAAUUACAACAUCAAGGCCUACGGUUCUGAUUGAUAGACAUUAUUUUCUUGCACACCGGACUGACGUUCCUGUGAUUUUACCCAUGCCGGCAAAACCCAUCUGGCACCCCCCAAUGCCAGAUGACUCUCGUGUUGUUAAUGACAACUAGUGGUUCAUGCACUGAUAAUAUAUUGUUUAUGUAAAAUACGAAAAAAGCAGGUACCUUGAUAGUUUUUCUGUUCCUUAUAGUAUAUUUUUCGAUUCAAAAUACGUUAGUUUACCGUAAGAACAUAACGUUACGCUACAAACGAUAAAACUAAAGUGGAACUUUGUUAUUGUGCGUAACGCAAAACAUCAUGACGUCACGUCUGCUUACGGAGGUUAAUUUCCCGCGCUUUGUAUUCAUUCUCUACUACAAGAAAGAGUGCUACACGAGAUGUAGACACUGAAAAUGUGGAAUUUGUAUGUGCAACACUUUUGUAAAUUUAAGAUGCAGAUUUUGUUCACAUGGCGGUAAGACAGAUGCAUACAGUGUCAGUAAGUUAAGGUAUGGUGAUAAUGUGUACUAGAAUGGAACCUUGAAAUGUUUUAAAGCUUUAAAACUAUUGAAGUGUUUCUUUCUUCAGUGUUGGAGAACAACACUCAGUAUACAGGAUUAAUUUGUCAAUACAAUUUUGAAUAUACAUAGAUAUAGAGAAUGAGUACAAUUAUAUUAUUUGUGAGUAGGUUUUAUUAUAAUGUUUGAUAUGUAUUUAAAUUGAAUUUAAUUUUUGAAAGGAAUUUGAAAUAUAUAUAGAUCCAGUGGAUGAAUGCAAUUAUUUGUGAGUAGAUUUUAUUAUAUUUUUUUCUGUGUAUUCAAAUUUGAUCUAUAUUUCAAUACGAUCAGAGUAUACAUAAACAGAGUGAAUGGAAAUAAUUAAUUGUGGUAUUUAGGUUGGAUUUAAUUUUCAACACAUUUUUGAAUAUACAACGACGAAGUGAGGAAAUUUAUUUAAUUAUUAAUAAUUAUGUUUAAUUGCGAUCGUUAACACUGAAAUCGGAUUGAAUUUCUAAUACAAUUUGGAAUAUGCACAUACAUCUUGAAGAUAUGUAAUUAUUGGUGAUAUUCUAAUUGGAUAUUGUUUUCAAUACAAUUCGGAAUAUUCAUACUUAUAGUGAAGGUAUAUGAUUGUUGGUGAAAUUCAGAUCGAAAUCAAUGUUUAAUACAAAUUGGAAUUUGCAAAGCUUUAGUUAAAAAAUACAAUCACCGGUGAGUAAGGUUUAUUCUAAUCAUUGAUAUAUAUUCGGAUCUGAUAUAAUUCCCAAAACUUUAGCAGGAUCCAUUGAUAAAAUCAAGAAAUAUGAUUAUCAAAUACCCUUAGUUUUAAUCAUUCUAAGAUCAUGAUGAUCUCUUUUUAUUGUAGCAUCUAUUUUUAGUGAACUUCAUAAACCGAAAGAAUUAUUUGGUCCAACGGACCGCAGAAACUAUUUUGACGCCGGAAAGUUUUGUCUCGUCCGUCAGUUAUUUAUCUAUUUAUUUAUUUGGGUUUUAAGGCGCAACAACACAUUAUAGGUUAUAUGGCGCCAAACAGGACUACAAAUUUUGGUUCCACAUCUCAUUUACAUCGAAAUAAAAACAUGAGGUAUAGAAUCAAACUUUGCAUACCUGCUGGAAUCACAGAGUUACCGCAAAACCAAGUGUUAAGACCCUAUUAGUCGCCUCUUACGAUCAUGCAAGGGUAAGGCAGUGGUUCCAAUUCUUUUUAUACACAGAUCGUCCCAGAACCACAUAGGGCUCCGUCCGUCAGAUAAAAUAGCUAAACAAUCAUGCUAUUAAAAGUGUUUUUUUUUCAUAUUUCGACAUUUGUUGCAAUAUUUAUAAACAAAAUGAUCAACGAAAUAAUCUGAAGGUCAGUGCAUGAGAUGUUUACUAUUAAUCUUCCCAACAGAACUUGCCGUAGUUACUGUACUAUAAUUGUUUUGAUUUUGUAAUUGAAUAUAUUUUAUUUUCUUUAAAAUUUCAAUAAUUUUCAAAAGCACAUUUAAAGCGUAGAAAUCACUGUCUGUGCUGUGCGAAUUGUACAAAAUCCCUAAAAUAUCUUUUGCAAAAUUUACCAUUUCUGUAUCCGGUCCUACCUUUUUCUGUCGGGAUAUUCUUGUUGAAAUAAAGUAAGUUUCUCCCCAAAUCCUUCAACAGUUAGAAGUUUAACAAGAAAUCAUAAAAAUUUUUGAAUCGAAUAAUACGUUAUGUGCAACUAAAAUUGUUUAUCUGAAGGGUUGUUUAAAAUCUUUGAAAUUAAUGAAAGAUAAUCGGGUAUCCGUUGAUAACCAACAUUCGCUGUUAUGGAACAUACAUUUUACGUGUAUUUCAUUAUUUGUAAUUUGUGUUGUUGCUUGUAGAAUCACACCAUUUGGCGGAUAGAUGUAAGUGUCAAACGUCUUCCCAGAUCCGGUAUCCAGAUCAGCUGGGUGAAUCAUAUUUGCAUCGACUCCUGAAAACAAUAUCAUGAAUUAAAUUUUUUGUAAUUUUCUAUAAUUGUUCAAGCUAUUUACACAUUAUGUUUGUUCAAUUUUAGGUUCUUACUUAUGAAUACAUCACCUCUAAAUUCGGUACAUUAUUUUGAUUGUAUAUCAAUCAUUAUAAUCUGUAUUUUGCUAAUUAUUGGUGUAACUGUCCAAUGAUAGAGUUAUGUCUAUUCAAAGAAGUGGAAACAACAGUUAAUUAUUUAUAAUGCAAAAAUAAACGUUUUAAAAAUAUCACAGAUUCUUCUUUAAAAGAAAUAAAUUUUGUUUUGCUAAUUUCUCCUGAAAUACUGUGGUAUCUUUAAAUUUUAUGACCUCCCUUUAAUUUUUGAUGAUAUUUUUAUAUAAUUGCUAAAUAAUACUUU